rnacentral:rRNA from 1 species
GUGCCAGCAGCCGCGGUAAUACGUACGAGGCGAGCGUUAUCCGGAAUUACUGGGCGUAAAGCGCGCGCAGGCGGAUGUUUAAGUAGGGCGUGAAAUCUCCCGGCCUAACUGGGAGGGGUCGCUCUAGACUGGGCGUCUUGAGGACUGCAGAGGUGGGUGGAAUUCCUGGUGUAGUGGUGAAAUGCGUAGAGAUCAGGAGGAACACCGGUGGCGAAGGCGGCCCACUGGGCAGUCACUGACGCUGAGGCGCGAAAGCUCGGGGAGCGAACGGGAUUAGAAACCCCCGUAGUCC